UUUUUUUUUUUUUUUUUUUUUCAUUUUCCCUCUCCUACUGGAAAAAAUUCAAAAUGCAGCUGGCUAGGGAGUCCCAAACUUCAUUUUCUUUCCCCUGCCUGGAAGGGAAGAGGAAGGCACCCCCCUGGCUGAGUCCCAGCCACAUGCCAGGCAUCAGGCUGCCCCACUCCACCCGUGCCUUCUGCUGUGUGCCUGUCCCAGGGCCAGAAGGUCUGUGUGGGCUCCCUGGCAGGGUCUCUUCAGGGCCAGGUGGGUUACUCGUCCCAAGGAUCAGAAAGUGAGACCUGAGGGUAUCCAGCUGCAAGUCUCCUACCUGUUCAGUGGCCUUCCCCAAGGUCACCCCCCUUGUUGGCAUCUGUGGUCUCAGAGAUUCCCCAUGAGCUCGUUGCUGUCCAUGUUACAGAUUGGGGAGAGUGGCUGAGGUUGCCCCUGACUUCUUGGCAAGUGUCAGAGCCAGGAAUCAGACUCAGGUCGGCCUGACUUGAAAACCCAAGCUUCUUCCACCACACCACUUGCCCGUCUUUGUUCUGGUUGCCUCGUGUUUCACGUUAACAACCCGCUCUGCAUUUCUAGCACCGGGCCCGGGUCAUGGCAGAGCGAAGGCAUCAGUGCAUGUAUUUGGAACAGUGGAUGGAAGGAUGGGUGAGAGAAAUGAACAAACAGAGAAGUGUGUGAUGCCGGGGUUGGCCCUGGGCCUCUGUUCAGUGCGUACACAUUAUAUCCUGUCUUGUCUUUAGGCUUUGGAGGUUGGCGCUGCCUGGCAGAGGGGAGAGUGUCAGCAAAUCACAAGGGCAUGUGACCCAUUUUUCAGUCACCUGGAGAAUAUGAGGUACAAAGCCCAAGAUAUUUAACAAUAUCAGCCAAGCCAACUUGUUCUUCUCCACUUAAAUGACAGAUCCACAAGCAGCCAGGCAGCCCCAUUCGGAAAAACCCCCUUUAUCCGUGUCAAGCGGCAGCUCAGGCUCUAGCUCAUUUAUUUAGGCCUUUCUUGCUCUCUGACACGCCUCCUAGCAGUUGCCAGGCAACUCUGGGAGUAGCAGUGUGUGUUAGGGAUUAACUAGUUAGGGCUGGGGUCCUUUUUGGCAAGAAGGGGAUGAAAGAAAUGAUUUUAAUUGCUAGGCCAAGGAUCCUUUCUCUGCUGGGUAGAAGAUUGCAACUUUUGGAGGAUGUGUAUAGCAGUGUGGGUCCUGAAUUUGCUGCGAAUGGUCCCCUUUCUCCCUCCUCGGGAGACCAAAUGAAUUUUAAAAAGAGUCUUAUUUUUCCUCACUCUUUUGUUUAAAAUUAUAUCAUCUUGAAAUCUGAAUAAGACUAACCAGCAUCCUCUCUUUGGAAGACGUUUCUUAGCACAGUGGCCUCAGUUUUAAAGCACUUUCAAAAAUAGAAUUGUGUGCUUUAAUUACAUCCUUUUUUCUGUCCAUAGUUUCUUCUUUCAUAGCUCGUGCUAUGUGGAGUCAUCUUAAAGCAGCACAUGUGAAGGUGCUUUUACCAUAUCUGGCCCAUAGUCCCUGAUAAAUGUUAGCUCAAAGAGCAAAACUGAUGGAGAUUGGUGCUCCAACGUGCAUUCUGUUCUGUGCCAGUAGCUGUGGAAAGGCCAGGGUAGAUGGCCCACCAUGAGUUGUUUGUUCAACAAGCUUGCGCGGCUCUCUCUGGGGCAUUCUGCUGGUUGGGCUUCCCCAUUAUGAAUGGAGAACAGCCCCUGCCCACAGGGAGCGACGGCUGAGGUGGGGACGGUAAAGCUAGUUGAUGUCAGAGCCGCAAAGCAGGCUGUGCAGGCAGUAGGCAGCUCCUCCUGGCCAGCUUGCUUAGUCCUUCCCAGGAGGACCAGCUUCCAGAGUCAGCCAUGGGUACGCUGGCAUCAUCCAUCUUACAGCCCCUGAUUUUGCACUUGAUUCUGCUGAGUCAUAUUUAUCCACCUAAAACCCCUUGAAGACAGAGAAGUUAAGAUAAAAGCAGAUUGAUAGCCUGGCUUUCAAGCAUGAACAGACGAGGCUGUGUUAGAGCAGGUCAGAAAAAUACCAUUUAGAUUGUUUCCAGUAUUUUGAGAUUAUGGUUUUUUAAAAACAAACAAACUGUAUAUGUUUUUAGUAUAAC
rnacentral:lncRNA from 1 species